AUUGAACGCUGGCGGCAGGCCUAACACAUGCAAGUCGAGCGAGCGGCGGACGGGUGAGUAAUGUAUGGGGACUGCCCGAUAGAGGGGGAUAAAUACUGGAAAAGGUGGCUAAUACCGCAUACUGCCGGGUAACCCAUAUGGGAUUAGCUAGUGGGUAUGGUAAUGGCUUACCUAGGCGAAGAUCCCUAGCUGGUCUGAGAGGAUGAUCAGCCACACUGGGACGGAGACACGGCCCAGACUCCUACGGAGGCAGCAGUGGGGAAUAUUGCACAAUGGGCGCAAGCCUGAUGCAGCCAUGCCGCGUGUAUGAAGAAGGCCCUAGGGUUGUAAAGUACUUUCAGUCGGGAGGCGUUACCGACAGAAGAAGCACCGGCUAACUCCGUGCCAGCAGCCGCGGUAAUAC
rnacentral:rRNA from 1 species